rnacentral:rRNA from 1 species
AAUCAACGCUGGCGGCGUGCCUAACACAUGCAAGUCGAGCGAGAAAGUGGAGCAAUCCAUGAGUACAGCGGCGCACGGGUGAGUAACACGUGACUAACCUACCCUCGAGUGGGGAAUAACUUCGGGAAACCGAGGCUAAUACCGCAUAAUACCCACGGGUCAAAGGAGAAAUCCGCUUGAGGAGGGGGUCGCGGCCGAUUAGUUAGUUGGCAGGGUAAUGGCCUACCAAGACGAUGAUCGGUAUCCGGCCUGAGAGGGCGCACGGACACACUGGAACUGACACACGGUCCAGACUCCUACGGGAGGCAGCAGUGGGGAAUUUUGCGCAAUGGGGGAAACCCUGACGCAGCAACGCCGCGUGGAGGAUGAAGUCCUUCGGGACGUAAACUCCUUUCGACCGGGACGAUU